UUAGAUAAACAGGAGAAAGAAUGGGGCCGUAGCUUCCAGAGAGAGGAGCUCUGCACCGGCGGGGUGCGAGGAAGGCAGGCGAGGGAGGCGGAGGGAGCCCAUACUCCCACCUCGGCGCCUCUCCUCCCGCAGCAAACGCUCAGCCCCCGCCCUCUCUCUCCGUUCCGGACCCUCCACCCGGCUGGCGAGAGGGCAGCGCGGGAGAGGCGGUGGCAGGGCUCUGACUGUCACGUUCGUUCCCUGCUGCUUUUCCCGUCCCCAGCCUCCUCGCCCCUCCUCCCUCAUCCUCAGCCGGGGUUUGGAGGCGAUUCCCCUCUAGUGACUGAGACGAUCGCAUCUGGGCGAGCGGCGCUUCGCCUCCCUCGCGUCUUUGUCUCCUCCUCCUGCAAGGCUCCGGGGCCGGGCGCAGGGUCUGCAGCAGCCGCCGCAGAAGCGGGAGCCAAGCGGUGCUCCGCACGGCCGCCCGGAGCCGCACCCUCGCUCGGUGGAGGCGCCGGAGGACGCCGGCCAGCCACGCACAGCCGGCGUCCCGCGCUCCUGCCGCCGCGCACUAACGCCGCCGCCGCCGCGGCGGGGAACGAGCCCUCCCGGCCGGCCGGGUCCGGGGUGGGCAGCCCGGCUGGCAGCGGGGUGGGAAGAGCGGGCGCUGCAGCUCUGGCAGCUCACACCCCCAGGCAUACGCAUCCAACGCCUCUUCCCUGCGCCACGAGGAUGGAGCAGCCACCCCGGCCCGGGACUGGCGCAAGUGUACCAUCCCAUUACUUACAGCUAAGCACAGCGGUGGACUCCAUUAUCUCCUGGAAAGGGAAGCUCAUAGAUGAUAAGAGGGUAAGUAGGAUAUAUGGAGGUUGAAUGGGCCACACAUUCAGCAGGGAGGUUCAUGAGUUGGAUAUUGUGAGAUGGUCCCUCCUUCUCCUAGGAUUCUACAAGAUUCUACUAAGCAUAGUUGUCUUCCUCCAAGAAGCUUUGAGGAUAGGCAGAGGAUAGAGGUGAACAAGCUAGAAUUCAGCAGUGUCUAAACUGAACAG
rnacentral:lncRNA from 1 species